UGCGUAGGCGGCCCUGUGUGUCAGAGGUGAAAUCCCACGGCUCAACCGUGGAAUUGCCUUUGAAACUGCAGGGCUUGAGUCCGAGAGGGGAAGGUGGAAUUCCUGGUGUAACGGUGAAAUGUGCAGAUAUCAGGAAGAACACCCGUGGCGAAGGCGGCCUUCUGGCUCGGAACUGACGCUGAGGCACGAAAGCUAGGGUAUCGAACG
rnacentral:rRNA from 1 species